AUAAUAUUCCUGCUCCUUUCCCGCCGGGACUCGCUCGGAGCAGGUAGAGCAUCUCUCAAGUCUCUCAAGUGUGCAGCUUCCAAACUUCUUUCAACACGUUACGGCCCGGCUUCUGCUGUCCACAGUGUCCGCGAUGAGUUACUACAUGGAUCCAGUUUCUUCCUAUCCAGCCCUUCACCCCUGUGACCGUCUGGCCGCGAUGAGGCAAAGUGGAGGUGUUGCCAUUGGCCCCCAGUUGCAUCUCCCUGCGGUGGUCCACCCACAGCAGCAGUACUACCCCUCACAGCCUUUCUACCCUCAUGAUGUGCCCCUGCAGGAGGUGCCCAAUGGGCACGACACGUGUC